rnacentral:rRNA from 1 species
CGCGGCCUAUCAGCUUGUUGGUGAGGUAACGGCUCACCAAGGCGUCGACGGGUAGCUGGUCUGAGAGGAUGAUCAGCCACACUGGGACUGAGAUACGGCCCAGACUCCUACGGGAGGCAGCAGUGGGGAAUCUUGCGCAAUGGGCGAAAGCCUGACGCAGCAACGCCGCGUGCGGGAAGAAGGCCCUCGGGUUGUAAACCGCUUUCAGUAGGAACGAAAAUGACGGUACCUGCAGAAGAAGGUGCGGCCAACUACGUGCCAGCAGCCGCGGUGACACGUAGGCACCAAGCGUUGUCCGGAUUUAUUGGGCGUAAAGAGCUCGUAGGCGGUUCGGUAGGUCGGGUGUGAAAACUUUGGGCUUAACCCAAAGCCUGCAUCCGAUACUGCUGUGACUAGAGUUCGGUAGGGGAGCGGGGAAUUCCUAGUGUAGCGGUGAAAUGCGCAGAUAUUAGGAGGAACACCGGUGGCGAAGGCGCCGCUCUGGGCCGAUACUGACGCUGAGGAGCGAAAGCGUGGGUAGCAAACAGGAUUAGAUACCCUGGUAGUCCACGCCGUAAACGUUGGGCACUAGGUGUGGGUCUCAACCAACGAGAUCCGCGCCGUCGCUAACGCAUUAAGUGCCCCGCCUGGGGAGUAC